AGAGUUUGAUCCUGGCUCAGAUUGAACGCUGGCGGCAGGCCUAACACAUGCAAGUCGAACGGUAACAGGAAGCAGCUUGCUGCUUUGCUGACGAGUGGCGGACGGGUGAGUAAUGUCUGGGAAACUGCCUGAUGGAGGGGGAUAACUACUGGAAACGGUAGCUAAUACCGCAUAACGUCGCAAGACCAAAGAGGGGGACCUUCGGGCCUCUUGCCAUCGGAUGUGCCCAGAUGGGAUUAGCUUGUUGGUGGGGUAACGGCUCACCAAGGCGACGAUCCCUAGCUGGUCUGAGAGGAUGACCAGCCACACUGGAACUGAGACACGGUCCAGACUCCUACGGGAGGCAGCAGUGGGGAAUAUUGCACAAUGGGCGCAAGCCUGAUGCAGCCAUGCCGCGUGUAUGAAGAAGGCCUUCGGGUUGUAAAGUACUUUCAGCGGGGAGGAAGGGAGUAAAGUUAAUACCUUUGCUCAUUGACGUUACCCGCAGAAGAAGCACCGGCUAACUCCGUGCCAGCAGCCGCGGUAAUACGGAGGGUGCAAGCGUUAAUCGGAAUUACUGGGCGUAAAGCGCACGCAGGCGGUUUGUUAAGUCAGAUGUGAAAUCCCCGGGCUCAACCUGGGAACUGCAUCUGAUACUGGCAAGCUUGAGUCUCGUAGAGGGGGGUAGAAUUCCAGGUGUAGC
rnacentral:rRNA from 1 species